rnacentral:rRNA from 1 species
GGCGAUUAUAUCUGUGGUGGAUCUACCUCUUCCCAUUCCGAAUAGAGAAGUAAAACCCGAAAGAGCCGAUGGUACUGCAAUGCGAUGCGGGAGAGUAGGAAGUCGCC